rnacentral:misc_RNA from 1 species
AUACAACUCAACUCUUAGUCUCAAACAGCCUCAGUUUCUUUGUUUAUAUAGAUCCUUUUUCUCCAUUUUGCUAAGCGUAGGAUCUAAAUAUGUUUCGCAGAGAACAUUCAUUACAAUUUUGAAGGAGCAUCAAGUGAUUUAUAAGGAGUAUUAACUAACUAGGCUAUUUUUCUCCUAAGUUUUAAGAUCUUCCCUAGUAAGCUUUUAGAAUUCUCAAUCUGGC